rnacentral:rRNA from 1 species
UACGUAGGUUGCAAGCGUUAUCCGGAAUUAUUGGGCGUAAAGAGUGAGCAGGCGGCUUUGCAAGCCGGGGGUCAAAUGCGGCAGCUUAACUGCCGUUCGUCCCCGGAACUGCAUGGCUAGAGUGCUGGAGAGGCAAGCGGAACUCCUCAUGUAGCGGUGAAAUGCGCAGAUAUGAGGAAGAACACCAGUGGCGAAGGCGGCUUGCUAGACAGUAACUGACGCUCAGUCACGAAAGCGUGGGGAGCAAAU